rnacentral:rRNA from 1 species
ACGAACGCUGGCGGCCUGCCUAACACCUGCCAGUCGCACGAGACCUUCGGGUCUAGUGGCGCACGGGUGCGUAACGCGUGGGAACCUGCCCUUAGGUUCGGAAUAACUCCCCGAAAGGGGUGCUAAUACCGGAUAAUGUCUUCGGACCAAAGAUUUAUCGCCUUUGGAUGGGCCCGCGUUGGAUUAGCUAGUUGGUAGGGUAAAAGCCUACCAAGGCGACGAUCCAUAGCUGGUCUGAGAGGAUGAUCAGCCACACUGGGACUGAGACACGGCCCAGACUCCUACGGGAGGCAGCAGUGGGGAAUAUUGGACAAUGGGCGAAAGCCUGAUCCAGCAAUGCCGCGUGAGUGAUGAAGGCCUUAGGGUUGUAAAGCUCUUUUACCCGGGAUGAUAAUGACAGUACCGGGAGAAUAAGCUCCGGCUAACUCCGUG